UCCUUUAUUUUGAGCCCUGUAAAGUCAUGAAAUAAAAACUGAUUGCAUUGCGACAACCCUAAGCUAAGCAGGGCUGCGCCCGGUCAGUACCUGGAUGGGAGACCACAUGGGAAAGCUAGGUUGCUGCCGGAA
rnacentral:rRNA from 1 species